CCAACAUCCAGCAGCAGAGACGGGCAAUUAGGUCUUUACAGUUCAAACUGUCCAGAAUCAACUCCAGAUGCAAGUGAUUUGAACUCACUUCUAACAAGGACAGAAAAUAACAGGACUGCAAUUCAGCCA